CGGCGUGCCUAAUACAUGCAAGUCGAACGGACGUUUCUAUGGAAGCUUGCUUCCACUGAGAAGAUAGUGGCGAACGGGUGAGUAACACGUGGGUAACCCUGCCCAUAAGAGGGGGAUAACAUCCGGAAACGGGUGCUAAUACCGCAUAGUUUUCUUGAUCGCAUGAUUGAGAAAGGAAAGACGGCCUUUGUGCUGUCGCUUAUGGAUGGACCCGCGGCGUAUUAGUUAGUUGGUGAGGUAACGGCUCACCAAGACGAUGAUACGUAGCCGACCUGAGAGGGUGAUCGGCCACAUUGGGACUGAGACACGGCCCAAACUCCUACGGGAGGCAGCAGUAGGGAAUCUUCCGCAAUGGACGAAAGUCUGACGGAGCAACGCCGCGUGAGUGAAGAAAGGUUUUCGGAUCGUAAAACUCUGUUGUCAGAGAAGAACAAGUUGGAGAGUAACUGCUCCAGCCUUGACGGUAUCUGACCAGAAAGCCACGGCUAACUACGUGCCAGCCGCAGC
rnacentral:rRNA from 1 species